rnacentral:lncRNA from 1 species
GGACAUCCCAUAAUCAAUUCUCUUAUGGAUUUUUAAUUUCUAGAGCCUCUUCUCCUCUUCCUCUCUUCUUCCUCCAGAUCUCCUAUCACUUUGGAGUGUCCAAGGUACUUGUAGAAGAGGAAAGAGAUCAGCUGUCGAAGUUAUUCACAGACUAGCAUCUCCGAGCUCCUGAUCUGCGCUAGUCUUCACAUGGAUUUUUUUAUAGAGGCC